CGGGACGGGUGAGUAAUGCUUGGGGAGUCUAGCUUAUGGAGGGGGAUAACUACGGGAAACUGUAGCUAAUACCGCGUAAUAUCGAAAGAUUAAAGUGUGGGACCUUCGGGCCACAUGCCAUAAGAUGAGCCCAAGUGGGAUUAGGUAGUUGGUGAGGUAAAGGCUCACCAAGCCGACGAUCUCUAGCUGGUCUGAGAGGAUGACCAGCCACACUGGGACUGAGACACGGCCCAG
rnacentral:rRNA from 1 species